CGCAGCCCUUACGGACUGCGCUAUUACGUUCCGGACUUUCAGCCCU
rnacentral:sRNA from 1 species